AUAAGAAGCUUGCAUGCCUCUCAUUCUCAAGUGGAUAGGAUUGUCUGAUUUGCUUACCUCUGAUAAUCUAUACCAAAAUGAAAACCAUUCUUAGAAACACUGUCAUUCUCUUGAUGUUCUGUGAUGGAGUUUGUCAAACUAGUGCACUUGGCUGCAGACCUGGGACCCCUUACUCUCAAAGGCCAUUCGCCAUGCCUGGGGAUGUGACUAUUGGAGGACUAUUUGACAUACACAUUUACUAUACAACUGAAGCAUUUUACUUUUCAAGCCCUCCACAUCUACAGCCACGUAAGAUAAGUAACCAAUUAAAUGGUUGUACAGGUACACCACUGAUUUUCAGUCAACUGAUGAUUCGGCAUCUCCUUUAGUCCGGACACAAUUAAAAUAAUGUGAGAGCGAAAUAUAAUAGCACGCUUCAAUACUGGGUGUGCUGACGUACAUUAGUUGUGCUGCACUUAUUGUUGGUGGUGACACAGUGCCUCCAUUUUAUGAUGGAUUUUAUGACCAGCCCACCUCUAAGAAAAUGUGUCCACUAGCUAUCUGCCUUUUUAUUUCCCAAUGACAAGUCGUGUAAUUUGCUAUGUUGUAUGCAUAAUCUUUGUUCUUUGCAUAUUUUUAAAUUACUAGUGGAUUUUGCUAAGACAAAAUUAACAAGUGUUUCAUUGUGUGUUUUCAACCUCUACCUUUGUUUAACAAAACAGCAGUAUACUGUUAAUAAACUAUUUCACCGUG